AGCGAACGCUGGCGGCAGGCUUAACACAUGCCAGUCGAGCGGGCGUAGCAAUACGUCAGCGGCAGACGGGUGAGUAACGCGGGGGAACGUACCUUUUGGUUCGGAACAACACAGGGAAACUUGUGCUAAUACCGGAUAAGCCCUUACGGGGAAAGAAUGAUCGCCGAAAGAUCGGCCCGCGUCUGAUUGGCUAGUUGGUGAGGUAACGGCUCACCAAGGCGACGAGCAGUAGCUGGCCUGAAAGGAUGAUCAGCCACAUUGGGACUGAGACACGGCCCAAACUCCUACGGGAGGCAGCAGUAGGGAAUAUUGGACAAUGGGGGCAACCCUGAUCCAGCCGUGCCGCGUAAGUGAUGAAGGCCCUAGGGUUGUAAAGCUCUUUUGUGCGAGAAGAUAAUGACGGUACCGCAAGAAUAAGCCCCGGCUAACUUCGUG
rnacentral:rRNA from 1 species